rnacentral:rRNA from 1 species
CCUACGGGUGGCAGCAGUCGAGAAUCAUUCACAAUGGGGGAAACCCUGAUGGGGCGACGCCGCGUGGGGGAAUGAAGGUCUGCGGAUUGUAAACCCCUGUCAUGUGGGAGCAAAUUAAAAAGAUAGUACCACAAGAGGAAGAGACGGCUAACUCUGUGCCAGCAGCCGCGGUAAUACAGAGGUCUCAAGCGUUGUUCGGAAUCACUGGGCGUAAAGCGUGCGUAGGCUGUUUCGUAAGUCGUGUGUGAAAGGCGCGGGCGCAAGGCGCGGACGGCACAUGAUACUGCGAGACUAGAGUAAUGGAGGGGGAACCGGAAUUCUCGGUGUAGCAGUGAAAUGCGUAGAUAUCGAGAGGAACACUCGUGGCGAAGGCGGGUUCCUGGACAUUAACUGACGCUGAGGCACGAAGGCCAGGGGAGCGAAAGGGAUUAGAUACCCUGGUAGUC